rnacentral:rRNA from 1 species
UACGUAGGGCGCAAGCGUUGUCCGGAAUUAUUGGGCGUAAAGAGCUCGUAGGCGGUUUGUCGCGUCUGUCGUGAAAGCCCACGGCUUAACCGUGGGUCUGCGGUGGAUACGGGCAGACUAGAGGCAGGUAGGGGAGAAUGGAAUUCCCGGUGUAGCGGUGAAAUGCGCAGAUAUCGGGAGGAACACCGAUGGCGAAGGCAGGUCUCUGGGCCGAUACUGACGCUGAGGUGCGAAAGCGUGGGGAGCAAACGGG